GUAGCGUGAGCUUAAUUCUGUAUGGUUCAACCAAUUCAAAAUUGCAAUGAAAAUUAGACAAACAAUUGCUUACGGAGUUCAUUAAUUUGAUGUGAUAUGCUUAUCUACAUGAAGAUGCAUUCAUGUUUAAGUUUGAGCAAAGAUUUACCUUUUGCGAAAGCAAUACUGAUUCUAACUACCGUUCAUGUAUGAUGUUGAUCCAUGUAUAUACACAGAUGAGCUGCCACUUCUCUUACAGGGUUUUCAAGGCAGCAUUUUCGAUUUUUUGGUUUCAUUUCUCAAACAUUUCUCAGAAAAAAAUUAUGAGUGAAAUGGUGGUUCCAUAUGUUGAAGAAUGGGAAAGAGUUUUGGCUGACCUAUUAUAAGCAAAUCUUUGAAUAAAGUCUGGAUAGGUUGGUUUUGUUGAAACUUCAAUUGAUCUCUUAUAGGGUUUACAUGGAAGCAUUUUCAAUUUUUGGUUUCAUUUUUCAGUUUUAAACAUUUGUCAAAAAGAAUUUGAUGGGUGAAAUGGUGGAUCCAAAUGUUGAAGAACGGGAAAGUCUUUUUGUUGACUUAUAUCAGCAAAUCUUUGAAUAAAAAGUACAGUACACUCAACUCUAUCUACACCCAAAAUAGAACUCCCUAUGAUGAGGCCACAUUUAUCUAUGCAAUUGAUUGAGCUGCUAACGACAAUUCCUAAAUGGAGCACCAUUUUGAUCAGUCUUGUAAAGUAACACAGCACUAUAUAUAAGAAAUAAAAUGAAAAAUCAAGACUACCUUUUUCCCACAACUUGAAUUUUCUCCAGCUUCUUUGCCACCUCUCAAACCUUACACAAGAUUAUCCUCUUAUAAGACUUCCCAAGACGACGACGUCUGUCCAUCUUACCACCUAGAAGGCCUUUAAAUGAAGUAUUAUCAUAUAAUUCUCUCAAUGGAAGUAUUGGACAAGUAAAGUUGGGUGUGUAAUUUACAUGAGCAUUUAAAUUCAAAGAUGGAUGUAAUGUAUGUUAUCAUGAUAUGCAUUUCCUGUAUGUGUAUCUAUUCUUUUUCUAGAUGGAGCCUGAUUUGUCCUUUUCCAUGGGGCUGUUGGGGCUAGGUUUGAUAUGAGGUGUUUUCUAGGUCUUCAUGGUGAGGUUUUUUGAAGUGGUGAAUAUGACUUUCUAAUCAUUUUGAGGGCUACGACCCAAAUAUUCUAAAUGAUUUGCUUUUAGUUUUCUGCGUGGUGGUCUUUCUUAUGUCAUGCUCUUCCCUCAAAUUAAGCUAUGGACCAUCCACACACCUAUGUACACAUCUAGUAUCUAUCAAUCCAUAUGUAUAUCUAUGUAAAUACGAACGUAUAAUAUGCAUGAAUAAUCCUGUGUGAGUGAGAUCAAGUCUCAUUUUUCGUUUUACUUGUUUUCAGGGUUACAAUGCCCUCAAAGACUACUUCCCAACUAUGGAAAUGAAACCAAAUCCUCAAUGUUCUAAUUCUGCUUGUUUGGAGAGGCAGGUAGGAUGACCUGGAUUUAGGAGUUCUUUCCUUUCUUCAGAAAUAUAUGUAUUAUGCUGUUUCAUUUCAAUAUUACAUCAACUGUGCAGAAAGAAUACGCUCUUGCAAAGCCUGCCAGGGAUGCUGCUGCUAAAGCCAAGAUGGAAGCAGAAGCACCAUCAGAAACAAAGUGCCUCCAUGAAGAUAAUGAAUGGAACAUAAGGUAACUCUUUGGUUGAUUUUUCAUUUUUUAUGUUUGGGCCUCAUUAUUAUCAUCUGUACCUUUUCUCAAUAAUUAUCAAUCUGAUUAAUAAAUCUUCAUGGCACAUUCAUUUGCAUUCUAACUCUCCGAGUCAAUUAUCUUGCCCAUUCCCAGACCCUCUUUACUUCUUGUAGCCUGCCAAGUCCCUCCUCAUGUUCUUGGGAGGCUACUGAUAACUCUUUUUAUCUUUAUUGUAAUUAAGCGUCGUUGAUGAUACUGAUCUGCAAGGCUCAGAUGUUGGAAUAAGUUCAGGUUCUCUCUCUCUACGUGCAUGUUAAACUUGAGUAGAUAUAUGUUACAAAAUAUUCAAAUGGGUCGAGGAAGUAUUUCUUUUCAAAUUGAGUAUGGUAAACAGAAGUUCAUUUAUAACACAUCCUUGGUGAAAAAUGAAGAUAUAGUGACGCUUUCUUUCAGGGACAAAAGUUCAAGUAUGUAACGCUUUGAAAUACUUCAUUGGUUGCUUUUAUGAACCAAAUGCUUUGUUUCAUAUCAAACAUGUCAAAACAGAAUGUUUUCAUUAGGACUUCUUUACGAAGUGUUAUUGGCAACCUAGCUGGUUGUUUACUUCUCUUGAUUAACUUCCAAAAAACAUUUAUAUUUAGGUUCUCUGCCGGAGGGUAUCAUCCACGAGCUUCCAAGUGCAGAUGAGUUUCAAAAACCACCAGUCUCAGAGGAGCCCGCUACCCCGGUCGAUGACCUUGAAGAUCUCAAAAGGCAGCUCGAAGCCCUUAAUGCUGGCUAGUUUGUUCGAACGAUUUGGAAAUAUAAAUGUUUUUUGGAAACUUGAAGACCUCGCUGCCGUUCGAUGAUCUUUACAUUGUGAUUAAAUUUAUUAAACAUUAAGUUUUUGACAAUUCAAAGCCAAUUUUUUACAAAUAUUGGUAGAAUAUUUAACUGAUUAGCAAAUAGCAGUAGUGGAUGGCCAUUUAUUUAAAGUUUAUUACUGAUGGGACAUGUUAGUUGGAGGUACUUGAUACUAUAAAUAAUGAACGAAAUGUCAGACUCUUUUGUUUUAUUUAUUUAUUUAUUUUCAUUUUAAUAUCGAGUAGAGUAUUGUUCAACUCUUUGCCAAAUGUGUUAAUAGGUCUUUGUUACCAAUGUAUCAAUCAAAAUAAAAACAACUAAAUAAGAUAGCAUAUUUUUAUUCAAUAGCAUCAACAAUGCUGUUUACAAGAUACCUAUCUGAUUAAAUCAUCCAAACUUGAUUGAGAUUUAAGAAAGAAAGUUGUUUUAUUUCUUUUACAUGUUUGCUAUGUUCGAUUAGAUACAUUUGUACUCGAUAGACUCCUUCCAGAUGAUAAAAUCGAAACAAUUCAUUACAAUUUACAAAGUUAGUUGAUACACUCGUGCUCUCACACAACCACAACAUGUGCAUUUUGACAAUAAAUUGGACAAUUUCCGCAAAAGAAUGAAAGAUUGGGGCCAAAAUUCUAGAUUUUAUAGAUAGAUGACCAAUUUGCUACUAAAUCUAUAGAUUGAGGACUUAAUUCAAAUUAGGAAAAUUAAGACAGGAUUUUGCAGAAUUUAAGAGAUGCCCUUGUUCAAAUCCAGCCCCCAACUUUCUGACAGAGAAGAUGAACGCUCAGAGCAGCCAACAGCAAUCCAGCGACGGACGCCACGAUGACGAUGCUGCACUCACCGAUUUUCUAGCUUCUUUGAUGGAUUAUACACCCACUGUAAGAAUGAUUACAUGUGUAUAUACAUGCUUUAUUCGCAUACAAAGAUUCUUAUGAAUUGAAAGAUUAUAGUAAAGAUUCAUAUGAAUUGAAAGGUUAUAGUAAUGAUGUUUAAUUUUAAUUGGUAUAGAUUCCAGAUGAACUGGUAGAGCAUUAUUUAGCGAAAAGCGGAUUCCAGUGCCCCGAUGUCCGAUUGUAAGUAUUAAACCCUAAAAAGGUUUUAAAAAAUCUACUGCUAAAAUAAUACCUAAAUUAUCUUUUUGGAUAGUUAUUUAUGUCAGCAAUGUUCUCGAUUUUAUGUAGCUACUGGUAUAAUAUUAGAAAUAUAUAGGGUAAAUAAAUGAAGUUUAGGAAAUCUUUAUGAUGUGUAUUGGUCUUGGCAGAUUAUGUAUUAGACCCUAAAAAAAGUUUUACAAAAUCUACUCCUAAAAUAAUAGCUAAAUAAAUUUUUUAGGUAGUUAUUUAUUUCAGUAUUGUCCUUGAUUUUUUGUAGCUACUGGAAUAAUAUUAGAAAUAUAUAAGGGAAAUAAAUGAAGUUUAGGAAAUCUUUAUGAUGUGUAUGAGUGGUGGCAGAUUAUGUAUUUACCUUCACUAGAUUCAUUUCUAUUAUAAGAAUAUGAUGUGUCCUAUAAUUGGAGAAUUUACGUGCCUCUCUCUAAGCGUAUAUAUGCAAGCCUAUCAAUUGUACCAGAUGGGAAAAAUGUUAUCAAUAAAAAAGGAAGUGGAAUUUGCUUUUUAUUUGUCUAUUAUGUGUGUUUCUUGUAAUGGUACUUCAUUUACUUUAGUUUCCAGCAUUUAAUUAUUCUGUAUUAUUCUUGUUUAUGUGAGAAGGAAAUUGAUCUGUGUAUUUUUCAUUAUCUGGUGAAGUUUUUAAUGAAUAUAUUUAGUUUUGGAAUAUGUGGACUUGUUUUUGUUGGUUUGUUUUGGAUGUCUUAGCUAAACCAAGACCCUCUAUAUGAUAGUUGAGGUGAAAAUAUGCAUUUUAUUUAUUUUUUAAAUAGCUGAUGUGUGUUUCUUUCAUGUUCUUUGUUUGUUUCUCAAUGCGUAGCUCAUUCUGGUUUAUCGUGUUCUGUUUCAUUGUCGUAGGACAAGACUGGUGGCAGUUGCUACACAGAAAUUUGUUGCUGACGUGGCAACUGAUGCUCUUCAGUAUGUGCUUGUUUUCUUCUAUUUGUUUAUUCUCUUUUAAGAUGAAAAUUAGGCUUUCUUUAAUGUUUAACAUUUUGUUAUGCUUUUUUUGCUGGCAUUUAACCAUUCAUUAUUCUUCCUUAAAACUGUUCAAUACUUGUUCUUUUGGUUUCUGAUUUGUUAUGUUGAUGAUGCUCUUGGAAUAUUUUUCUCCUCCGUGUCAAUGCAGGCAGUGUAAGGCAAGGCAGUCAGCUGUCGUCAAGGACAAAAGAGAUAAGCAGCAAAAGGUAAUAUAAAUGUACUUUAUUUUAUCUCAAGUUGUUAUGAAUAGGAUUAAUGCCUCUGUGUAACAGGAUAAGCGACUAAUAUUGACAAUGGAGGAUCUUUCCAAGGCACUGCAGGAGGUAGAUGUCAUAAUUUUUUAUCCAUCAUAUUACUGCAAGGAUCCAUCUUUUGGCAUGAUAUGAAUUUUACUAUUCCCUUUGUGAACUAAUAAACAGUAUUUCAUAAUAUUUUGCUCAUCUCAAUGAUGUAAUUUUGAAUAGAACUAUAGAGGCUAAUGACUUGCAAAAUUACCAAUAACAUAGAAAAAAAAAGUAUAUGAAUAAAUUCACUGUCUCAUUAAUGUUAUUGAAGAUCCUUGGUCCACUAGGACAUGAUUUAGAUAAAGUGAGUCCUCAAAUUAAUUUUCGGAGAUAAAAUAAAGAGGAAAAUCAAAAUUUUCAGAUUCUGACCAUUUUGGAUGCAUGGGCAAACGGAAAGAUGCUUAUUGCUUGCUCGAAAGUUUGCUGAAAUUACUUGCAUACAGUUUCGAAAAAUAUUUCGGUGUUUUGAAGGGGGAUACUUCUCUAUUAAGUUUUGACUGUUAUUUUGGUGUUUUGACAAUUGCUUGUUUAUUCAAUUCUAAGCUAUGUAUACUGUUUUUUGCUAGUUCUGUGUUUAACUUUGUAUUAUUAUGCAUCUUGAACAAUACUCAACCAUUGCAGCACCUGGUUUUGAUGUUCAUAUUCUCAUAACUACCUUUAGAUGGUUCUCUGAUCAUUUUGGUAUUAUAUAUAAUUUUUUUUUUUCAGAUAUUGUAACUUGAUCUUUGUCAUCUAUGUUGCAGUAUGGUGUGAAUGUCAAACAUCAAGAUUAUUUUGCUGAUAGCCCUUCUGCUGGGUUAGAUCCAGCGGCAAGAGAUGAGUGAGUGUAGCGUGAGCUUAAUUCUGUAUGGUUCAACCAAUUCAAAAUUGCAAUGAAAAUUAGACAAACAAUUGCUUACGGAGUUCAUUAAUUUGAUGUGAUAUGCUUAUCUACAUCAAGAUGCAUUCAUGUUUAAGUUUGAGCAAAGAAUUACCUUUUGCGAAAGCAAUACUGAUUCUAACUACCGUUCAUGUAUGAUGUUGAUCCAUGUAUAUACACAGAUGAGCUGCCACUGAAUUUAUUUGUCAAGUGGAAGGUUGGUGUGCAGUACUGGAAAUGACUGAAAAGUUCAUUACAUGUUUA
rnacentral:lncRNA from 1 species